rnacentral:rRNA from 1 species
AAUAGAUACCCGGGUAGUCCUGGCCGUAAACGAUGAGCGCUGGAUUGGGGAGGCCCCCACACCUUCCUGAUCGAAGCGAAAGCAUGAAGCGCUCCGCCUGGGGAGUAUAGUCGCAAGGCUGAAACUCAAAGGAAUUGACGGGGGCUCACACAAGCGGUGGAGGAUGUGGCUUAAUUCGAGGCUACGCGAAGAACCUUAUCCUAGGUUUGACAUGCUUGGGAAUCCUCUUGAAAGAGAGGAGUGCCUUCGGGAACCCUUGCACAGGUGCUGCAUGGCUGUCGUCAGCUCGUGUCGUGAGAUGUCGGGUUAAGUCCCUUAACGAGCGAAACCCUUGUCUCUAGUUGCCAGCAUUCAGUUGGGGACUCUAGAGAGACUGCCGGUGUGAAACCGGAGGAAGGUGGGGAUGACGUCAAGUCCUCAUGGCCUUUAUGCCUAGGGCUGCACACGUCCUACAAUGGCGCGUACAAAGAGCAGCGAAGCCGCGAGGCCAAGCGAAUCUCAAAAAGCGCGCCCUAGUUCGG